rnacentral:rRNA from 1 species
AACGAACGCUGGCGGCAGGCUUAACACAUGCAAGUCGAGCGCCCCGCAGGGGGAGCGGCAGACGGGUGAGUAACGCGUGGGAAUCUACCCAUCUCUACGGAAUAACGCAUGGAAACGUGUGCUAAUACCGUAUACGUCCUUCGGGAGAAAGAUUUAUCGGAGAUGGAUGAGCCCGCGUUGGAUUAGCUAGUUGGUGGGGUAAAGGCCUACCAAGGCGACGAUCCAUAGCUGGUCUGAGAGGAUGAUCAGCCACACUGGGACUGAGACACGGUCCAGACUCCUACGGGAGGCAGCAGUGGGGAAUAUUGGACAAUGGGCGCAAGCCUGAUCCAGCCAUGCCGCGUGAGUGAUGAAGGCCCUAGGGUUGUAAAGCUCUUUCACCGGUGAAGAUAAUAACGGUAACCGGAGAAGAAGCCCCGGCUAACUUCGUGCCAGCCGCCGCGGUAAUAC